UGCUUCCAUCUGGAAGAAUCUGGAGACAGGUGCUGCAUGGCUGUCGUCAGCUCGUGUCGUGAGAUGUUGGGUUAAGUCCCCGCAACGAGCGCAACCCUUGCCUUUAGUUGCCAGCAGUUCGGCUGGGCACUCUAAAGGGACUGCCGGUGUUAAACCGGAGGAAGGUGGGGAUGACGUCAAGUCCUCAUGGCCUUUAUGACCAGGGCUACACACGUACUACAAUGGCCGAUACAAAGGGCAGCGACACUGCGAGGUGAAGCCAAUCCCGUAAAACCGAUCGUAGUCCGGAUCGCAGUCUGCAACUCGACUGCGUGAAGUCGGAAUCGCUAGUAAUCGUGAACUCACGAAUCGCACGUGAAUAACGUACCGGUCU
rnacentral:rRNA from 1 species